rnacentral:rRNA from 1 species
AGAGUUUGAUCCUGGCUCAGAGCGAACGCUGGCGGCAGGCUUAACACAUGCAAGUCGAGCGGGCGUAGCAAUACGUCAGCGGCAGACGGGUGAGUAACGCGUGGGAACGUGCCCUUUGGUUCGGAACAACACAGGGAAACUUGUGCUAAUACCGGAUAAGCCCUUACGGGGAAAGAUUUAUCGCCAAAGGAUCGGCCCGCGUCUGAUUAGCUUGUUGGUGAGGUAACGGCUCACCAAGGCUACGAUCAGUAGCUGGUCUGAGAGGAUGAUCAGCCACACUGGGACUGAGACACGGCCCAGACUCCUACGGGAGGCAGCAGUGGGGAAUAUUGGACAAUGGGCGCAAGCCUGAUCCAGCCAUGCCGCGUGAGUGAUGAAGGCCCUAGGGUUGUAAAGCUCUUUCGGCGGGGAAGAUAAUGACG